CCUAAAUGUGAGACAAUUGUGAAAAGUGGAGGACAGAGCCACCUGGUUAAAUACAGCCCCAGCUUUCUGGUGAGAGGACUGAAACCAAGAUGUGUCAAGUAACUAGAAUGUGCCUGGACAGAUACUGUAGAAAGCAAAACCAUAAAGUUGUUCAUGAGCUUGUGGACGCACCUGCCAGCUGUGAAUAAGUGGCUCUAAUCCCGAACAACUUACCUAAAAAGAGCCUGAGAGCUGAACUGUGCAAUGGCCCACUUUCCAGUCCUCACUGACCACUGGGUUGCACACACUUUGGAGAUCUCUGAACAGCAGUGUCAAGGCUUUCAAAUAGAGUUAUCUUUGAAACGACAACACAUGAAAGUCUGGUUGGUACUUGGAGCUUAAAUACAAGGCAAUUGUGUGCCUGCAAAAACAAAAAUAGCAAUAUUAUCCUUAAGAUUUCAACAAGACACAGUGUCUCAUCACAUAAUCCAAAGAAGUCCAGGUUACAAGCCCCACAAUAUUCAGCAUUAUGAAAAAACAGGGAGAUCUUAAUUCACAUGGCAAAGAGAAUCCUCGAAUAACAAUAUUGAGAGGACACAGAUGUCAAAAUCAUCUGACACAUACAUUAAAGCAGAUAUUAUAACAAUGCUCCUAGAAUCGGGGAUAACAUUCGUGAAGUGAAUGGAAAGUUGGAAAGUCUCACCAAAUAUUUCGAAUACAUAAACACCAAUUUAAACUUAAGAAUUAAAAAAAUGUAUUAACCAAAACUCUUAGGGGAAAUAAAAAGCUUAAUUGGAGGAUCUCCAUAAUCGAAUGCAGAAGACUAAGGAAAAAGUCAAUGAACUUGAAAACAGAACACGAAUACCUACAUAAUCUGAACUAUAGAGAGAAAGGAGGAUUUUAUUGUCUCUGAACAGAGGCUCAGGCACAAAUAAAAAAUAACAAAUCCAACAUUCACAUUAUUGUAAUCUGGAAAGAAGAGGACAAAGUGGUCUUUGUGGGAUAAAACUUUGAACAAUUAAUAGCUGAAAAUGGUUCAAAUUUGUCAAAAGAUAUAAACCAGAUUUUUAAAGUUCAGUAAAUGUCAAUCAGGAUAAACCCAAAGAAACCCAUAGCAAGGCAUAUCAUAAUCAAACUGCUGAAAACUAAGAAAAUACAAAACAAUUUUGAAAGCAGCCAAAGGGAAAUGAAAGAGAAACUACCAAAUGAAUGAUUGUAGAUUUCGCAUCAGGAACCAUAGGGGCCAGAAAAAAUGUCAUAACAUUCGGUAAGUAACAAAAGAAAAAGACAUAUCGACCCAGAAUGCUAUGUGGAGCAAAAGUAUCUUCCAGACAUAAAGGCAAAUAAAUGCAUUCUCAGUGGAAGGUAAGUAAAUACAUUCUCAUUCUUAGGAAGACUGCUGGAAAAGAAUUAGCAAAGAUUUGAGAUAAGAAAAAUGAUACCAGAAGGAAACUUAGAACAUCAUCAGUGAAGGAACAAAAGCAGAAAUAGAACAUGUCUGGGUAGACAUAACAGACUAUUAUUCUUCCCUUGAGUUCCUUAAGGAGACUACGGAAAAGAAGAGUGACUAAGAUCUCUGAAGAAGGGAAAAGCUAGAUGACUGGGCCACAAGAGAAAAAAAGCAGCAAGACAGAGAUUUGUUGGUGCCAACUAAAUGAGCCCAACAGCCAGUGACAACAGAACUGCACUAAAAAAAGUCCCUCAUCAGCUCUUGAGAGCAGGUUCCUUAAAGGUGAACAAUAUUCCACAUACAAGGACUUUUUCAGCACCAUGCAUUAGAAAUGGAAGUGAAUGUUUAUUAUUUUUUGUAUAAGUUGGUUGAUACGGCUUUUCAGCUUCCCUCAGUAUCAUUAUCCAAAUUUUGUAGAUGACACUAAAGCUCAGAGGAGUUAAACCAUUUUCCUCAAAUCACAUAGCUUUAAAUAGGAAAACCAGAUAUGAAAAGCAGAUUUUUUUCUAAAUUAAAAAAAAAAAAAAAACUUGAGCUCUUGCUUUACCCUAGCACAUAGUCUCACCAUCUGUUUUCUCCAUGCCAGGUCAUUCAUGUAACAUUCAUUCACAUAACAAAUACAAAUAAAUGAGUGGAUUCAUUCAUCAGCUAUUAAUUCAGAAUCUCUUUUGUGUCUACCACACUAGGCUCAAGACUUCCCAGUGUCUUUGUCUCCUCUCCCUCAAAUCUCUCCACCCAAUGUCUUGACAAAUACUGUAGAUCCUUCCUGCACAGCAUCACCAGAAUGUUUUUCUUUCUUUUCAUUCACCUCUGUCAUCAUCCAUGCUAUGGUGUUUAUGGAGGAUGUAUUCUGCAGCAGGAAGUGUGAUGGGCACUGACGCUGCAGAAAGACUCCUGUUGUCCACCUCGGGAGCUGACACGAUAAAUGCGGGUAAAUCUCAAUCCUUUAAUAUCUUUAUGACUUCUUUCUCUUUCUCUUCAAUUUCUAUUUUCUCAUGUUCAAGCUCUGACAUUCAAAACUAAACACCUUUCUCUAACAUGUUGCUUUAAUUAUUUAAGCAUUCUGCCUGGGAUUUUUUCAAUUACUCUUGGGAGUUUUCAUAAAACUCUACCAACAUAUCUCCAAGUGGCCAGGCUUUUCAAUCACUGCUUCCCUCCGUGUGUAUUUCACACACACACACACACACACACACACACACACAGCACUUAAAUUGAACAGGUUUAUUUCUUCACACAGGAAUUCCUACGAACAGCCCGGUUUUCUCCACCAUAUGUCCACUCCUUCUCUGCAUAGCUGAAUUUUGAUUCUUACACUCUAAUAUUUUACAUAUUCUUACACUCUGAUAUGAUCUUGUCUCUUAUUCUUUAUGGCUCUGCUCUGUAAUUUUGUUGUUGUUGUUCUGAGAUAUAGUUGGACAUGUAACUUGUACAUGACACACCUUAGCAAGGAGGCAACCUAUAUCUCAGAUGCAAGUGAAAGAAGCACUCCCCAGGGGUUUCCUAAGGUAGUGGUCAGCACGCUGGCUUCAUUCCUGAAAGGGCCUAGUUAUGAAAACAACAGGAGCUUUUUGCCUUCCAGAAAUCUGUACCAUCUCAAAAUCCCCAGAGAGUCUCAGCUACAAGGAACAAGUGAUAAUACUAUCUCACUUUUAUAAACACACACACACAACACACACACACAAAAUCAUUUAAUCAUUUUUAAUUAUUUAAUCAUUUUUUAAAAAUCAGUGACACUUUAGAUGGGCAGGUCUAGGCAGGGCCUCCUUUCCUGGAAUGUGCCUUUUUCUGUCCCGGAAUACCCUAAACUUGACAUUUUGGCAGUGUGAGUUUUCCCUUUUUGACUUUCUCCUUGUUCCCUUUCCUCUUCCUUCUUUGCAGAGAAUGAGUAGCCACUGCACCUUGCCCUGGGCCAUCAGUGAGAAGAUCUGCUCUUAGUAGAGCCCUGCUUUCCCGCUGAAGGCCCUGAAAUCCCCUGUGUUCCAGGCCACCCACUAAGGAUCAAUAAAGCUCCCCUGAUGUGGGGGAAUUAGCUCAAGUGGUAGAGCGCUUGCUUAGCAUGCAAGAGGUAGUGGGAUCGAUGCCCACAUUCUCCAAACUUUAUUAUUUAGACCCUGGGUCUCCAAACACUCAGGUCUCCAAACCCAAGUCAGAGAACAGGAUGCUGCUUUGGUUCAAGAUGUAGGAGCAGCAACAAUACAGGGCUGGUGACGGCUCCCUCCUGGCAUUCAGUAUAGUGUAGAUCUACCGUGUAAUUAAUUUUCUGCUUCUUUGAGGAGCUGUGAAACCAAGGGACAUAAACAAUUGCUCUUUUCUCCCUGUUUCUGCCUGUAGCUUGAAUGUGAGGCAACUGUGAAAAGUGCAGGGCAGAGCCACCUGGGUAAAUACAGCCCUGGCUUUCUGGUGAGAGGACUGAAACCAGGAUGUGUCAAGUAACUAGAAUGUGCCUGGACAGAUACUGUAGAAAGCAAACCCAUAAAGUUGUUCAUGAGCUUGUGGACGCACCUGCCAGCUGUGAAUAAGUGGGUCUAAUCCCAAACAACUUACCUAAAAAGAGCCUGAGGACUGAACUAAACAAUGGUCCGCUUUCCAGUCCUCACUGACCACUGGUUGCACACACUCCAGAGAUCUCUCAUCCGCAGUGUCAAGGCUUUCAAAUAGAGUUAUCUGUGAAACAACAACACAUGGAAGUCUGGUUGGUACUUGGAGCUUAAAUACAAGGCAAUUGUGUGCCUGCAAAAACAAAAAGAGCAAUAUUAUCCUUAAGAUUUCAACAAGACACAGUGUCUCAUCACAUAAUCCAAAGAAGUCCAGGUUACAAGCCCCAAAAUAUUCAGCAUUAUGAAAAACCAGGGAGAUCUUAAUUCACAUGGCAAAGAGAAUCCUUGCAUAACAAUAUUGAGAGGACACAUAUGUCAAAAUCAUCUGACACAUACAUUAAAGCAGUUAUUAUAACAAUGCUCCUAGAAUUACGGGAUAGCAUUCAUGAAGUGAAUGGAAAGUUGGAAAGUCUCACCAAAUAUUUGGAAUAUGUAAACACCAAUUUAAACUUAAGAAUUAAAAAAAGUAUUAACCAAAACUAUUAGGGGAAAUAAAAAGCUUAAUUGGAUGAUCUCAAUAGCAGUAUGCAGAAGACUAAGGAAAAAGUCAAUGAACUUGAAAACGGAACAAGAAUACCUACAGAAUCUGACCUAUAGAAAGAAAGGAGGAUUUUAUUGUCCCUGAACAGAGGCUCAGGGACAAAUAAAAAAUAACAAAUCUAACAUUCACAUUAUUGUAAUCUGGAAACAUUCACAUUAUUGUAAGAGGACAAAGAGGUCUUUGUGGGAUAAAACUGUGAAGAAUUAAUGGCUGAAAAUGUAUCAAAUUUCUCAAAAGAUAUAAACCAGAUUUUUAAAGUUCAGUAAAUGUCAAGCAGGAUAAACCAAAAGAAACCCAUUGCAAGACAUAUCAUAAUCAAACUGCGGAAAAUUAAGAAAACACAAAACAAUUUUGAAAGCAGCCAAAGGGAAAUGAAAGAUAAAAUACCAAAUGAAUGAUUGUAGAUUUCUCAUCGGGAACCCAGGAGCCAGAAAAAAAUGUCAUAACAUUCAGUAAAUACCAAAGGAAAAAUACAUUAUCAACCCAGAAUGGUAUGUGGAGCAAAAGUAUCUUCCAGACAUAAAGGCAAAUAAAUGCAUUCUCAUUGGAAGGUAAAUAAAUACAUUCUCAGUCCUAGCAAAACUGCUGGAAAAGAAUUAGCAAAGGUUUGAGAUAAGAAAAGUGAUACCAGAAGGAAACUUAGAACAUCAUCAAUGAAGGAACAAAAGCAGAAAUAGAAAAUGUCUGGGUAGACAUAACAGACUAUUAUUCUUCUCUUGAGUUCCUUAAGACAAUGAGUAGCCACUGCUGUUUGCCCUGGCCCAUCAAUGAGAAGAUCUGCUCUUAGAGCCCUGCUUUCCUGCUGAAGGCCCUGAAAUCACCUGUGUUCCAGGCCACCUGCUAACAAUAAAUAAUGCUGCCCUGAUGUGGGGAAUUAGCUCAAGUGGUAGAGCGCUUGCUUAGCACGCAAGAGGUAGUGGGAUCGAUGCCCACAUUCUCCAAGCUUUAUUAUUUAGACAUCGUGUCUCCAAACACUCAGGUCUCCAAACCCAAGUUAGUGUCUGAGAACAGGAUGCUGCUUUGGUUCAAGACGUAGGAGCAGCAAUAAUAGAGGGCUGGUGAUGGCUCCCUCUUGGCAUUCAGUAUAGUGUAGAUCUACCAUGUAAUUAAUUCUCUGUUUCUUUGAGGAGCUGUGAAACCAAGGGACAUAUACAACUGCUCUUUUCUCCCUGUUUCUACCUGCAGCUUUGUCCUAAAUGUGAGACAAUUAUGAAAAGUGCAGCGCAGAGCCACUUGGGUAAAUACAGCCCCGGCUUUCUGCUCAGGGGACAGAGUUUGAGGCACUGCAGAGGAACCGGCCAAAGUAUGAGACCCAUAUAUUGAGAGUAACAGAGUGUAAAGUUCAAAAAAAUCAAAAUAUUUAAAGAUUUAUCAUGGGUCUUGAUGACAUGAUGGAAUCUCUCUACUCUCUGGACUUAUUAUGUGUGGUAAUAAAUUUACUUUUUAAAAGCCA
rnacentral:tRNA from 1 species